rnacentral:rRNA from 1 species
GAGGUAAACACCCGGUGGGGAAACGUGCCCUUUUAGGGUUUCGGGAAUUAACUCAGGGGAAAACUUGUGCUAAUACCGAAUGUGCCCUUUCGGGGGGAAAAGAAUUUUAUCGCCCUUUAGAGCGGCCCGCGUCUGAUUAGCUAGUUGGUAGUGUAAUGGACUACCAAGGCGACGAUCAGUAGCUGGUCUGAGAGGAUGAUCAGCCACAUUGGGACUGAGACACGGCCCAAACUCCUACGGGAGGCAGCAGUGGGGAAUCUUGCGCAAUGGGCGAAAGCCUGACGCAGCCAUGCCGCGUGAAUGAUGAAGGUCUUAGGAUUGUAAAAUUCUUUCACCGGGGACGAUAAUGACGGUACCCGGAGAAGAAGCCCCGGCUAACUUCGUGCCAGCAGCCGCGGUAAUACGAAGGGGGCUAGCGUUGCUCGGAAUUACUGGGCGUAAAGGGAGCGUAGGCGGACAUUUAAGUCAGGGGUGAAAUCCCGGGGCUCAACCUCGGAAUUGCCUUUGAUACUGGGUGUCUUGAGUAUGAGAGAGGUGUGUGGAACUCCGAGUGUAGAGGUGAAAUUCGUAGAUAUUCGGAAGAACACCAGUGGCGAAGGCGACACACUGGCUCAUUACUGACGCUGAGC